AAUCAACGCUGGCGGCGCGCUUAACACAUGCAAGUCGCACGAGAAAGCAGGAGCAAUCUUGUGAGUAAAGUGGCGUACGGGUGAGUAACACGUGGAUCAUCUACCUCUUGGUGGGGAAUAACCCUGGGAAACCGGGGCGUAAUACCGCAUAAGCCUGCGAAGGGAAAGCGUCGUCUUCAAAACGAUGCGCCGAGAGAGGAGUCCGCGGCCGAUUAGCUAGUUGGCGGGGUAACGGCCCACCAAGGCGAAGAUCGGUAGCCGGCCUGAGAGGGCACACGGCCACACUGGCACUGAAACACGGGCCAGACUCCUACGGGAGGCAGCAGUGGGGAAUCUUGCACAAUGGAGGAAACUCUGAUGCAGCGACGCCGCGUGAGCGAUGAAGCCCCUCGGGGGUGUAAAGCUCUUUCGACGGGAAAGAUAAUGACGGUACCCGAAGAAGAAGCUGCGGCUAACUACGUGCC
rnacentral:rRNA from 1 species